CUUGGCUGCUGUGAGGACAAAGAAGAGUCAGUGCCUGGAGGAGCUGCCUAUGAGAAACAUCAAGGAGGACUGGAAAUAGGACUCCACUGAGGCUGUAAUUUCACCUUCUUGUCCUGGCUAACCUAGUUCAGAAAAAGAACAAUUUGCAGUCUACUUUUCAUUGUAGACAUCAACAGAGCCCUUAGGAAUCAACAGUAAAUCUGUCCUUGAAUUCAGUUGCACGAGAUGAGGUUCUGGAUUGGAAAAUUCAGAAGACACCCACCAGUAACUGAGGAAAGAACUAGAGCACUCAGGCAGACAACUUUGAGGCUCUUAUUCCUCCAGAGUCAAAAAUCUUUGCACUUGUGUUUUGUUGCAGAAUAUAAUGUCAAAUUAAAUAAGGCCCGCAGGAUCCUCAAACAGAGAAAUAAUCAUUGGGAAAAUACAACUGAGAAAAAGUCUUAUGAAAAACGAGAUAAAUAUUGAGGGAAGAAGUAUUGGGGCAUCUGCCAAGCUGUCCCUGUGCUGUAAACUCAGCAUUUUGCAAUGCCAAGCCAAGCAAUCAGCCAGAUUUUCCUCUGAAUGUAAUGCAAGCUGCACGCUUCACCCAAACCUCCUUGAAGAUUCUGGCUAGGAGCACAAAAAUGAACGUGGUCUUAAAUUUGGGUUCAUAACAAGAUCUGAACCCAAGUAAGUGAUACACAUUGUUUAGGAAUUUAUAAGGAAGGAGUGGAACAGAACUGAACAGGAUUCAAUUUUUAUCCAGAGUACAAAAGCAAAAAAACUUGGGCAAUUCCAUUUAUAGUGAAACACUUUCUUAUCAUGUACUUCUGUGUAAAAAUAUCUGACCAGAAAAGAGACCAGGGCUGUCUCAGCCUACUUUGGAGUUACAAAUGCUUAUUGUCAUAAUUUAUUGCAAAUUACUGGAAGGAACCUAACAGGAUAUGGCCACAGCCUGUGCUAGGACCACAGUCCAUGUUGGUGCUGCUGUCCCAGAUCCAUAGUAAGUAAUGCAUCUCAUUGAACACACUCCAUUUUUCUGGGGGAACUUACAGCUCCAAA